GCUUGGUGUGGUGGUGUACACCUGUAAUCCCAGUGGCUCAGGAGGCUGAGGCAGGAGGAUCAUGAGUUCAAAGCCAGCCUCAGCAAAAGCGAGGCGCUAAGCAACUCAGUGAGACCCUGUCUCUA
rnacentral:sRNA from 1 species